GGCGGUCGGUCAGCGGGGCGUUCUCCCACCUGUAGCGACUCAGAGCCUCCAAGCUCAUGGCCUCCUUAGGAGCGAACCCAAGGAGGACACCGCAGGGACCGAGACCUGGGGCGGCCUCCUCCGGCUUCCCCAGCCCGGCCCCAGUGCCGGGCCCCAGGGAGGCCGAGGAGGAGGAAGUCGAGGAGGAGGAGGAGCUGGCCGAGAUCCAUCUGUGUGUGCUGUGGAAUUCAGGAUACUUGGGCAUUGCCUACUAUGAUACUAGUGACUCCACUAUCCACUUCAUGCCAGAUGCCCCAGACCACGAGAGCCUCAAGCUUCUCCAGAGAGUUCUGGAUGAGAUCAAUCCCCAGUCUGUUGUUACGAGUGCCAAACAGGAUGAGAAUAUGACUCGAUUUCUGGGAAAGCUUGCCUCCCAGGAGCACAGAGAGCCUAAAAGACCUGAAAUCAUAUUUUUGCCAAGUGUGGAUUUUGGUCUGGAGAUAAGCAAACAACGCCUCCUUUCUGGAAACUACUCCUUCAUCCCAGACGCCAUGACUGCCACUGAGAAAAUCCUCUUCCUCUCUUCCAUUAUUCCCUUUGACUGCCUCCUCACACCCCCAGGAGAUUUAAGAUUUACCCCGAUUCCACUGCUGAUCCCCUCCCAGGUUCGAGCACUUGGAGGGCUGCUGAAGUUCCUGGGUCGAAGAAGAAUCGGGGUUGAACUGGAAGACUAUAAUGUCAGCGUCCCCAUCCUGGGCUUUAAGAAAUUUAUGUUGACUCAUCUGGUGAACAUAGAUCAAGACACUUACAGUGUUCUACAGAUUUUUAAGAGUGAGUCUCACCCCUCAGUGUACAAAGUGGCCAGUGGACUGAAGGAGGGGCUCAGCCUCUUUGGAAUCCUCAACAGAUGCCACUGUAAGUGGGGAGAGAAGCUGCUCAG
rnacentral:misc_RNA from 1 species